rnacentral:rRNA from 1 species
CGAAAGCGUGGGGAGCAAACAGGAUUAGAUACCCUGGUAGUCCACGCCGUAAACGAUGUCUACUAGCCGUUGGGACUCUUGAAGUCUUAGUGGCGCAGCUAACGCACUAAGUAGACCGCCUGGGGAGUACGGCCGCAAGGUUAAAACUCAAAUGAAUUGACGGGGGCCCGCACAAGCGGUGGAGCAUGUGGUUUAAUUCGACGCAACGCGAAGAACCUUACCUGGCCUUGACAUGCAGAGAACUUUCCAGAGAUGGAUUGGUGCCUUCGGGAACUCUGACACAGGUGCUGCAUGGCCGUCGUCAGCUCGUGUCGUGAGAUGUUGGGUUAAGUCCCGUAACGAGCGCAACCCCUAUCCCUAGUUGCUAGCAGUUCGGCUGAGAACUCUAGGGAGACUGCCGGUGACAAACCGGAGGAAGGUGGGGAUGACGUCAAAUCAUCAUGCCCCUUAUGACCUGGGCUACACACGUGCUACAAUGGACAAUACAAAGGGCAGCGAAACCGCGAGGUCAAGCAAAUCCCAUAAAGUUGUUCUCAGUUCGGAUUGUAGUCUGCAACUCGACUACAUGAAGCUGGAAUCGCUAGUAAUCGCGAAUCAGAAUGUCGCGGUGAAUACGUUCCCGGGUCUUGUACACACCGCCCGUCACACCAUGGGAG